AUCCUGGCUCAGGAUGAACGCUAGCUACAGGCUUAACACAUGCAAGUCGAGGGGCAGCAUUGGGAUAGCUUGCUAUUCCAGAUGGCGACCGGCGCACGGGUGAGUAACGCGUAUCCAACCUUCCCCUUAGUAGGGCAUAGCCCGGCGAAAGUCGGAUUAAUACCCUAUGUUGUAUAUUGAGGACAUCUGACUUAUACCAAAGAUUCAUCGCUAAGGGAUGGGGAUGCGUCCGAUUAGGUAGUCGGCGGGGUAACGGCCCACCGAGCCGUCGAUCGGUAGGGGUUCUGAGAGGAAGGUCCCCCACACUGGUACUGAGACACGGACCAGACUCCUACGGGAGGCAGCAGUGAGGAAUAUUGGUCAAUGGGCGCGAGCCUGAACCAGCCAAGUAGCGUGCAGGAUGACGGCCCUAUGGGUUGUAAACUGCUUUUAUACAGGGAUAAAGUGGCCCACGUGUGGGUUAUUGCAGGUACUGUAUGAAUAAGGACCGGCUAAUUCCGUGCC
rnacentral:rRNA from 1 species